AGAACGAACGCUGGCGGCAUGCCUAACACAUGCAAGUCGAACGAGACCUUCGGGUCUAGUGGCGCACGGGUGCGUAACGCGUGGGAAUCUGCCCUUAGGUACGGAAUAACAGUGAGAAAUUACUGCUAAUACCGUAUGAUGUCUUCGGACCAAAGAUUUAUCGCCUAGGGAUGAGCCCGCGUUGGAUUAGCUAGUUGGUGGGGUAAAGGCCUACCAAGGCGACGAUCCAUAGCUGGUCUGAGAGGAUGAUCAGCCACACUGGGACUGAGACACGGCCCAGACUCCUACGGGAGGCAGCAGUGGGGAAUAUUGGACAAUGGGCGAAAGCCUGAUCCAGCAAUGCCGCGUGAGUGAAGAAGGCCUUAGGGUUGUAAAGCUCUUUUACCCGGGAAGAUAAUGACUGUACCGGGAGAAUAAGCCCGGCUAACUCCGCGCCAGCAGCCGC
rnacentral:rRNA from 1 species